rnacentral:rRNA from 1 species
UACGUAGGGGGCAAGCGUUGUCCGGAAUUAUUGGGCGUAAAGCGCGUGUAGGCGGCCAGAUAAGUCCGCUGUGAAAUCUCGAGGCUCAACUUCGAGCUGUCGGUGGAAACUGUCUGGCUAGAGUCCGGAAGAGGAGAAUGGAAUUCCUGGUGUAGCGGUGAAAUGCGCAGAUAUCAGGAAGAACACCGAUGGCGAAAGCAGCUCUCUGGGACGGUACUGACGCUGAGGCGCGAAAGCGUGGGGAGCGAACAGG